rnacentral:rRNA from 1 species
AUUGAACGCUGGCGGGAGGCCUAACACAUGCAAGUCGAACGAGUGGCGGACGGGUGAGUAAUGUAUGGGAACGUGCCUGAUGGAGGGGGAUAACUACUGGAAACGGUAGCUAAUACCGCAUACCAUCGGAUGUGCCCAGAUGGGAUUAGCUAGUAGGUGGGGUAACGGCUCACCAAGGCGACGAUCCCUAGCUGGUCUGAGAGGAUGACCAGCCACACUGGUACUGAGACACGGUCCAGAGUCCUACGGGAGGCAGCAGUGGGGAAUAUUGCACAAUGGGCGAAAGCCUGAUGCAGCCAUGCCGCGUGUAUGAAGAAGGCCUUCGGGUUGUAAAGUACUUUCAGCAGAGAAGCGUUACCCGCAGAAGAAGCACCGGCUAACUCCGUGCCAGCAGCCGCGGUAAUUC